AAACGCCCUCUUCGGAGGGAGUGGCAGACGGGGGAGUAACGCGUGGGAACCUACCAUACGGUACGGAAUAACUUCAGGAAACCGGAGCUAAUACCGUAUACGCCCUUCGGGGGAAAGAUUUAUCGCCGUUUGAUGGGCCCGCGUCGGAUUAGCUUUUUGGGGGGGUAAUGGCCCACCAAGGCGACGAUCCGUAGCUGGUUUGAGAAGAUGAUCAGCCACACUGGGACUGAGACACGGCCCAGACUCCUACGGGAGGCAGCAGUGGGGAAUAUUGGACAAUGGGCGCAAGCCUGAUCCAGCCAUGCCGCGUGAGUGACGAAGGCCUUAGGGUUUUAAAGCUCUUUCAGCGGGGAAGAUAAUGACGGUACCCGCAGAAGAAGCCCCGGCUAACUCCGUGCCAGCAGCCGCGGUAAUACGGAGGGGGCUAGCGUUUUUCGGAAUCACUGGGCGUAAAGCGCGCGUAGGCUGACUGGUCAGUUGGGGGGGAAAUCCCGAGGCUUAACCUCGGAACUGCCUCCAAAACUGCCAGUCUCGAGUCCGGGAGAGGGGAGUGGAAUUCCUAGUGUAGAGGGGAAAUUCGUAGAUAUUAGGAAGAACACCAGUGGCGAAGGCGGCUCACUGGCCCGGUACUGACGCUGAGGGGCGAAU
rnacentral:rRNA from 1 species